UGAAACUCGCCUGCAUGAAGUCGGAAUUGCUAGUAAUCGUAGAUCAGCAUGCUGCGGUGAAUACGUUCCCGGGCCUUGUACACACCGCCCGUCACACCAUGGGAGUCGGUAACACCCGAAGCCUGUAGUCUAACCGCAAGGAGGACGCAGUCGAAGGUGGGAUUGAUGACUGGGUGAAGUCGUAACAAGGUAUC
rnacentral:rRNA from 1 species